GCAUUUCUCCAUACUUCUCUCUUUUUCUACUUGCGACAUGAUUAUAUUUUCCUCUUUUUUCUGUAAUACUAUCUAUUGCAGGAUAAUCUAAAGUAACGACGAGCAAAUAGAAGAUCGGUGGAUCUCAGAAAAAUCUGUUGUCGUAUCUGCUUAAACAAAAUGGAGCUUCCAUUGGGUUUGCUGGGAGUUAUUUCUUGUCACUUGGAAGAACAUCAAACGUCGUUGCAGGAAAACCCAACACUGAAAAUGAAGGCUCGGAAUAAAAAACAUAGACCAAAGAUAAUCAGAGAGAAUAAGCUAGCCAAAGUCAGAAGGAUCACCUGAAGGCUGGCGCGUGGAGUCCCUGGCUGAAGGUUGGCGCAUGGAGUCACUGGCUGAAGGCUGGCGCGUGGAGUCCCUGGCUGAAGGCGGCUGAAAGCUAGAGCGUGGAGUCCCUGGCGCGUGGAGUCCAAUUAUUUGAUGGCUUUAAAGCACCGGUAGCAGUAACACUUUGGGUCUAAUCACUUUGGGUCUAAUCACUUUGGGUCUA